GACGAACGCUGGCGGCGUGCUUAACACAUGCAAGUCGAACGAAGUGGCGGACGGGUGAGUAACGCGUGAUCAACCUGCCCUUCGGAGGGGGACAACAGUUGGAAACGACUGCUAAUACCGCAUACGGAAGGAGGGGUUUGCGUCGGAUUGGCUAGUUGGAGGGGUAACGGCCCACCAAGGCGAUGAUCAGUAGCCGGUCUGAGAGGAUGAACGGCCACACUGGGACUGAGACACGGCCCAGACUCCCACGGGAGGCAGCAGUGGGGAAACUUCCGAAAUGGACGAAAGUCUGACGGAGCAACGCCGCGUGAGUGAUGACGGCCUUCGGGUUGUAAAGCUCUGUUAAUCGGGACGCGGUACCGGAAUAGAAAGCCACGGCUAACUACGUGCCAGCAGCCGCGGUAAUAC
rnacentral:rRNA from 1 species